rnacentral:ncRNA from 4 species
UCGCGGUCCGCAUCCUGCGGAUCGCCCUUGGCCCGGAUCUCGCGAUCCGGGCUUUUUUUUGCGCUGC